rnacentral:rRNA from 2 species
UGGAUCCAGACUUUGAUCAUGGCUCAGGACGAACGCUGGCGGCACGCCUAACACAUGCAAGUCGAACGGAGAUAAUUGAGUUUACUUGAUUAUCUUAGUGGCGGACGGGUGAGUAACACGUGAGCAACCUGCCUCUGAGAGAGGGAUAGCUUCUGGAAACGGAUGGUAAUACCUCAUAACAUAGCGGAACCGCAUGAUUCUGCUAUCAAAGAUUUAUUACUCAGAGAUGGGCUCGCGUCUGAUUAGCUAGUUGGUGAGGUAACGGCUCACCAAGGCGACGAUCAGUAGCCGGACUGAGAGGUUGAACGGCCACAUUGGGACUGGGACACGGCCCAGACUCCUACGGGAGGCAGCAGUGAGGGAUAUUGCACAAUGGAGGAAACUCUGAUGCAGCGAUGCCGCGUGGAGGAAGAAGGUUUCCGGAUUGUAAACUCCUGUUUCGAGGGACGAUAAUGACGGUACCUCGGGAGGAAGCUCCGGCUAACUACGUGCCAGCAGCCGCGGUAAUACGUAGGGAGCGAGCGUUGUCCGGAAUUACUGGGUGUAAAGGGAGCGCAGGCGGGAUUGCAAGUCAGGUGUGAAAUGCAGGGGCUCAACCCCUGAGCUGCACUUGAAACUGUAGUUCUUGAGUGAAGUAGAGGUAAGCGGAAUUCCUAGUGUAGCGGUGAAAUGCGUAGAUAUUAGGAGGAACAUCGGUGGCGAAGGCGGCUUACUGGGCUUUUACUGACGCUGAGGCUCGAAAGCGUGGGGAGCAAACAGGAUUAGAUACCCUGGUAGUCCACGCUGUAAACGAUGAUGACUAGGUGUGGGGGGACUGACCCCUUCCGUGCCGCAGUUAACACAAUAAGUCAUCCACCUGGGGAGUACGGCCGCAAGGUUGCAACUCAAAUGAAUUGACGGA